rnacentral:rRNA from 1 species
AUGAGGGAGCGCCAUGGGAGAACCCAGCCCGCGCGAGUAUCCAUGGAGGCGGCUGGCGGGAGAGAUCGUCCUAGCAAGGUGGAUCUAGCGUCCCAUCGUAGAUACCCUGGCCCAUGUAAGAAGGCCACGGUGGAAGCGCCUCAUCUAAGCAAGCAACCAUGGUUCUCAAUAUUCAUAUUGAUUUUGAAUUUGGGUAGCAGGGGCAUUUACUUUGUAGAGGAGGAAAAUUCAGAAGGAUGCAGCGGAAGAUGUCCUGCAAGAAUACCAAAAAGGCUGCAGGCGAGAGACAAAGAUGGGAACAUAGGAUGUCCAGAUGCUGUUGUAGAGGCUUCUCACUAUGUCCAUUUGUGUUGUGUUGUUCCUUGCCAGAAUACUAUGCAUGUGCACCGCUGCUAA